ACACGUAGGGGGCGAGCGUUGUCCGGAAUUACUGGGCGUAAAGGGCGUGUAGGCGGUCUGUCAAGUCAGCUGUGAAAAGCCCCGGCUCAACCGGGGUCUUGCAGUUGAAACUGGUGGGCUUGAGUGCAGGAGAGGGGGGUGGAAUUCCUGGUGUAGCGGUGAAAUGCGUAGAUAUCAGGAGGAACACCGGUGGCGAAGGCGACCUUCUGGCCUGUUACUGACGCUGAGGCGCGAAAGCCAGGGGAGCGAACAGGAUUAGAUACCCUGGUAGUCCUGGCUGUAAACGCUGGGUACUAGGUGUAGGGGGUUUAGAUAUCCUCGGUGCCGUAGUUAACGCAUUAAGUACCCCGCCUGGGGAGUACGAUCGCAAGGUUGAA
rnacentral:rRNA from 1 species